rnacentral:rRNA from 1 species
AUGCACGCUGGCGGCGUGCCUCAUACAUGCCAGUCGAGCGAACAGACGAGGAGCUUGCUCCUCUGACGUUAGCGGCGGACGGGUGAGUAACACGUGGAUAACCUACCUAUAAGACUGGGAUAACUUCGGGAAACCGGAGCUAAUCCCGGAUAAUAUAUUGAACCGCAUGGUUCAAUAGUGAAAGACGGUUUUGCUGUCACUUAUAUAUGGAUCCGCGCCGCAUUAGCUGGUUGGUAAGGUAACGGCUUACCAAGGCAACGAUGCGUAGCCGACCUGAGAGGGUGAUCGGCCACACUGGAACUGAGACGCGGUCCAGACUCCUACGGGAGGCAGCAGUAGGGAAUCUUCCGCAAAGGGCGAAAGCCUGACGGAGCAACGCCGCGUGAGUGAUGAAGGUCUUCGGAUCGUAAAACUCUGUUAUUAGGGAAGAACAAAUGUGUAAGUAACUAUGCACGUCUUGACGGUACCUAAUCAGAAAGCCACGGCUAACUACGUG